AUCCGAUAAAGGCAAACUUAGGGAAACCUAAGGACGCAAAACUAUAGGGGUUAAAAUCACAUAAAAAGUGAUUAUGCCAGCCAGUUACCGAA
rnacentral:ncRNA from 1 species